rnacentral:rRNA from 1 species
CCUACGGGGGGCAGCAGUGGGGGAUAUUGCACAAUGGGGGGAACCCUGAUGCAGCGACGCCGCGUGGGUGAAGGAGUGCUUCGGCAUGUAAAGCCCUAUCGGCAGGGAAGAAGCAAGACGGUACAUGACUAAGAAGCCCCGGCUAACUACGUGCCAGCAGCCGCGGUAAUACGUAGGGGGCGAGCGUUAUCCGGAUUCACUGGGUGUAAAGGGAGCGUAGACGGCCAUGCAAGCCAGGGGUGAAAGCCCGGGGCCCAACCCCGGGACUGCCCUUGGAACUGUGCGGCUAGAGUGCGGGAGGGGCAGGCGGAAUUCGUGGUGUAGCGGGGAAAUGCGUAGAUAUCAGGAGGAACACCGGCGGCGAAGGCGGCCUGCUGGACCGCGACUGACGUUGAGGCUCGAAAGCGUGGGGAGCGAACAGGAUUAGAUACCCCAGUAGUC